rnacentral:rRNA from 1 species
UGGGGAAUAUUGGACAAUGGGGGAACCCUGAUCCAGCCAUGCUGCGUGUGUGAAGAAGGCCUUUUGGUUGUAAAGCACUUUAAAGCGAGGAGGAGGCGCUCUAGGAUAAUACCCUAGAUGCGUGGACGUUACUCGCAGAAUAAGCACCGGCUAACUCUGUGCCAGCAGCCGCGGUAAUACAGAGGGUGCGAGCGUUAAUCGGAUUUACUGGGCGUAAAGCGCGCGUAGGUGGCUAAUUAAGUCAAAUGUGAAAUCCCCGAGCUUAACUUGGGAAUUGCAUUCGAUACUGGUUAGCUAGAGUAUGGGAGAGGAUGGUAGAAUUCCAGGUGUAGCGGUGAAAUGCGUAGAGAUCUGGAGGAAUACCGAUGGCGAAGGCAGCCAUCUGGCCUAAUACUGACACUGAGGUGCGAAAGCAUGGGGAGCAAACAGGAUUAGAUACCCUGGUAGUCCAUGCCGUAAACGAUGUCUACUAGCCGUUGGGGCCUUUGAGGCUUUAGUGGCGCAGCUAACGCGAUAAGUAGNACCGCCUGGGGAGUACGGUCGCCAAGACUAAAAACUCAAAAUGAAUUGACGGGGGUCAUAGCUGUUUCCUG